AUUGAACGCUGGCGGCAGGCUUAACACAUGCAAGUCGAGCGGAGAUGAGGUGCUUGCACCUUAUCUUAGCGGCGGACGGGUGAGUAAUGCUUAGGAAUCUGCCUAUUAGUGGGGGACAACAUUCCGAAAGGAAUGCUAAUACCGCAUACGUCCUACGGGAGAAAGCAGGGGAUCUUCGGACCUUGCGCUAAUAGAUGAGCCUAAGUCGGAUUAGCUAGUUGGUGGGGUAAAGGCCGACCAAGGCGACGAUCUGUAGCGGGUCUGAGAGGAUGAUCCGCCACACUGGGACUUGGACCCGGACCAUACUCCGACGGGAGGCAGCAGUGGGGAAUAUUGGACAAUGGGGGGAACCCUGAUCCAGCCAUGCCGCGUGUGUGAAGAAGGCCUUAUGGUUGUAAAGGACUUUCAGCGAGGAGGAGGCUACUGAGACUAAUACUCUUGGAUAGUGGACGUUACUCGCAGAAUAAGCACCGGCUAACUCUGUGCCAGCCGCCGCAGUAA
rnacentral:rRNA from 1 species